GCCUGGGUGGCUCAGUCGGUUGAGCGUCCGACUUCGGCUCGGGUCAUGAUCUCGCGUUUUGUGGGUUCGAGCCCCGCGUCGGGCU
rnacentral:tRNA from 1 species